AGUGAACGCUGGCGGUAGGCCUAACACAUGCAAGUCGAACGGCAGCACAGUAAGAGCUUGCUCUUACGGGUGGCGAGUGGCGGACGGGUGAGGAAUACAUCGGAAUCUACUUUUUCGUGGGGGAUAACGUAGGGAAACUUACGCUAAUACCGCAUACGACCUACGGGUGAAAGCAGGGGAUCUUCGGACCUUGCGCGAUUGAAUGAGCCGAUGUCGGAUUAGCUAGUUGGCGGGGUAAAGGCCCACCAAGGCGACGAUCCGUAGCUGGUCUGAGAGGAUGGUCGGCCACACUGGAACUGAGACACGGUCCAGACUCCUACGGGAGGCAGCAGUGGGGAAUAUUGGACAAUGGGCGCAAGCCUGAUCCAGCCAGACCGCGUGGGUGAAGAAGGCCUUCGGGUUGUAAAGCCCUUUUGUUGGGAAAGAAAAGCAGCAGGUUAAUACCCCGCUGUUCUGACGGUACCCAAAGAAUAAGCACCGGCUAACUUCGUG
rnacentral:rRNA from 1 species